ensembl:snoRNA
GGUCAAUGAUGUUAUGGCAUGUAUUAGCUGAAAGCUGACUUGAUGUAAGCUCUAAAAUUACAAUAAGACCUU